UCUCCGUAGGUGAACCUGCGGAGGGAUCAUUACUGAGUGAGGGCUCCGGCCCGACCUCCAACCCCAUGUGAACCGAAACCUGUUGCUUCGGGGGCGACCCUGCCGUUCGCGGCGCGGCGCCCCCGGGGAAAUCAAACACUGCGUCAAUUUGUGUCGGAGUACUUGUUAAUAAACAAAACUUUCAACAACGGAUCUCUUGGUUCUGGCAUCGAUGAAGAACGCAGC
rnacentral:misc_RNA from 1 species